rnacentral:ncRNA from 1 species
GAGAGCCGUAUGAGGUGAGAGCUUCACGUACGGUUCUGGGAGAGCCUCGGGGUGCAAUUCCCCGGGGCUACUGACCAU